AUUGAACGCUGGCGGCAGGCCUAACACAUGCAAGUCGAGCGGAUGAAGGGAGCUUGCUCCUGGAUUCAGCGGCGGACGGGUGAGUAAUGCCUAGGAAUCUGCCUGGUAGUGGGGGAUAACGUCCGAAAACGGGCGCUAAUACCGCAUACGUCCUGAGGGAGAAAGUGAGGAAUCUUCUGACCUCACGCUAUCAGAUCAGCCUAGGUCGGAUUAGCUAGUUGGUGUGGUAAAGGCCUACCAAGGCGACGAUCCGUAACUGGUCUGAGAGGAUGAUCCGUCACACUGUCAAUAAGAGACGUUCCCUACUCUUACGGGGGGCAGCAGUGGGGAAGAAAGGCUGCCACACGAAAGCCUGAGACAGCACUGUCGCGUGUGUGCAGACCGUACAAGGAGUGUAAAGUACUUAAAGUUGAGAGGAAGGUCAGGAAGCUAAUACCUCGCCGUUUUGACGUGACCAACCGAAUAAGCACCGGCUAACUGCAUG
rnacentral:rRNA from 1 species